rnacentral:rRNA from 1 species
AUGCCACAAGUUCUUUCUCCUCCUGAUCAUCUUCCUAUGCAGGGUCGAACUCUUAAGUCGGAUUUGCUCAUUACGGGGACCAAAAUAUUUUCUGACGCUGCUUUCAGAAGUUCAAAAGUUCCUGGUCUAUUACAGGGAGCAGUUGCUACUGGAAUAGGGGUCUAUCUUGUUUUGCCUCAAGAUCGUUUUGAAAUCAAUGUGCAAAUUCAAGCAUCAGCUCCUCCCACUACUUCUCCUCUACAUGCAGAAGCUCUGGCUCUUUCUUUUGCAGCUCAAGUGGCUAGUAAGCUCAAUAUUUGGCAGCCAACCUUUCUCAUGGAUUGUUUCUCUUUAUCUUUGGUGGCUGCUACCGGCAAGAUUAUGGAAUCUACCACCCCUUGA